CGAUAUCAGAUUAGCUAGUUGGUGGGGUAAAGGCCUACCAAGGCUACGAUCUGUAGUUGGUCUGAGAGGACGACCAGCCACACUGGGACUGAGACACGGCCCAGACUCCUACGGGAGGCAGCAGUGGGGAAUUUUGGACAAUGGGGGCAACCCUGAUCCAGCCAUGCCGCGUGAGUGAAGAAGGCCUUCGGGUUGUAAAGCUCUUUCAGCCGGGAAGAAAGCGCACUCUCUAACAUAGGGUGUGGAUGACGGUACCGGAAGAAGAAGCACCGGCUAACUACGUGCCAGCAGCCGCGGUAAUACGUAGGGUGCGAGCGUUAAUCGGAAUUACUAGGCGUAAAGGGUGCGCAGGCGGUUUUGUAAGACAGAUGUGAAAUCCCCGGGCUUAACCUGGGAACUGCGUUUGAAACUACAAGGCUAG
rnacentral:rRNA from 1 species